rnacentral:rRNA from 1 species
UACGUAGGGCGCAAGCGUUGUCCGGAAUUAUUGGGCGUAAAGAGCUCGUAGGCGGUUUGUCGCGUCUGCUGUGAAAACCUAAGGCUCAACCUUGGGCUUGCAGUGGGUACGGGCAGACUAGAGUGCGGUAGGGGUGACUGGAAUUCCUGGUGUAGCGGUGGAAUGCGCAGAUAUCAGGAGGAACACCGAUGGCGAAGGGCAGGUCACUGG